AUCCUUAUGUAGUUGAUAAUCAUGAUUGGGUUUUUACGCAUGUGGGUGAGAUGUCCCUCCCUCAAACCUUGUUGUCUUGUCGGCUUGUUACUCAUCUGGCA